rnacentral:rRNA from 1 species
GACGAACGCUGGCGGCGUGCUUAACACAUGCAAGUCGAACGGUAAGGCCCUUCGGGGUACACGAGUGGCGAACGGGUGAGUAACACGUGGGUGAUCUGCCCUGCACUUCGGGAUAAGCCUGGGAAACUGGGUCUAAUACCGGAUAGGACUCCGGACUGCAUGGUCUGGGGUGGAAAGCUUUUGCGGUGUGGGAUGGGCCCGCGGCCUAUCAGCUUGUUGGUGGGGUGAUGGCCUACCAAGGCGACGACGGGUAGCCGGCCUGAGAGGGUGACCGGCCACACUGGGACUGAGAGACGGGCCAGACUCCGACGGGAGGCAGCAGCGCGGAAUAUUGCACAAUGGGCGCAAGCCUGAUGCAGCGACGCCGCGUGAGGGAUGACGGCCUUCGGGUUGUAAACCUCUUUCAGCACAGACGAAGCGCAAGUGACGGUAUGUGCAGAAGAAGGACCGGCCAACUACGUGCCAGCCGCCGCCGUAA